AGCAUGGCACUUAUAUAACUGCAGAUGGGAAGAAAUUUCGUACAACCGAGAGUUUCUCAAAAAUUUGAAGUAUAUGAUUCUUUGUAGUCAGCGACCUAUAAGGAUAACGACUUUUAAGUUUUCAACAUUAUCUCUCCAAAGCUUUACUGCGAUCUUAAGUACAUCAAUGAGCUACUUUACAUUGCUGCGGUCAAUUUAUUUCGACAAAUAAAGGACAC